AGCGAACUGUUGAUCCCUCCCCCCCGUCUCUCUGUCUCUCUCUCUCUCAUCGAAUUUUCCUCUUUGAAAAGUUCCAUCGGAACGACCGCCGCGUUCCACAACCGCCGCCGCCCGGCCGCCCCCAUGGAGCCGCCGCCGCCGCCCCUGCUGCAUCGUUACCGCCGCGAUCGCCGCAAGCUCCUGGAGUUCCUGCUCGCUUCGGCCGGACUCGACUGCUCCUCUCUCUCCGGCGCCGAUUUCGACACCCUCAGCGCCGAUUACGUCAUCCACCGCCUUCAAUCCGGUGGAUCGAUUGAUAUGGCCGCAGCAACUGAGACGUACUUGGAAGAAUCCACGUAUCCGAUCACGAUUCAGUUGCCAUCCCAGAAUUCUUAUUUUCUUGUCUCCGACCCCGAACUUGCUGGAUCUCCACCCCAGCGCAUGCCUCCUCAAGCUGAUGUCGCCCACAGCUCUGACCAUACUUCAACGUCAGUGGGUAAAUUAGAUACUCCAAUUGUCGGGGAUACAGAAGACAUUGUUCUUCAAUAUAAGGAGACACAUCGUACACCUAUGAAGCCUGUUGAUUCAGAAGUUCCUCCAUUGGGAUUACCUGUCCUGAUUGCAGGACUGUCUGAUGAUGACUUGCAAGAAUCAGCCUAUGAAGUACUGCUUGCAUCUAUGAUUUUCUCUGGGAUUGAGCUACAGGCGGUUUAUGAUAGAAAGAAGGAAAAGAAUUCCAAAUUUUUCUCGGGAAUAAAGGGCAAAAAGAAUAAGAUUCAUUUACAGUCUCAGCCUCUUGAAAGACACUUUGAGCUAAUUGAUAUUAUACGCUCUCAGAUGCAGAUUUCGGAAGCUAAAGAUGCAUGCAUCAGAAAGAAAUUGAUAGAGUUGGUGGCAAGUAAAACAUGCAGACAGAUUAAUGUUCCUCAAAUUUCCUUGGGCCUUUUAGAUGGGAUUCAUGAGUCUGAUUUUCUCAACGAGAAACACUAUUUGCAAUGGAGAAGGAGACAGGUGAAUCUUUUGGAAGAAUUUAUAAGUUCCUCUACUAAUCUUGGGACAAAUGAACAUUGUAUGGUGAGAAGCUCUCUUCCGAAGAUAAGAGAUCCAAAGGAAUGGGAUGUCAAAAUGUCUCCAAGCGAUCAUGCCGACGUUCUGUAUGCUAUUAGGCAGGUGGUUUUAGGGCUGUCAUCUCUGCCAGGAGAGGUUGGUCUUGAAACUGGAACUUACUACUGGACAGUGGGUUAUCAACUGAACAUUCGAAUUUAUGAGAAACUACUUUUUGGCAUGUUCGAUAUUCUUGAUGAAAGCCAGCUCAUUGAGGAAGCUGAAGAAAUUCUAAAUUUAAUCAAGAUGACAUGGCCUACCUUAGGCAUCACUCAGAAAAUCCAUGAUGCGAUGCAUGGGUGGGUCCUUUUUAGGCAGUUUGUGGGGACACAGGAGCCUUCGCUCUUAGAACAUUGUAUCCUCAAGUUGCAGAGAUUUGUCUCUGCUGAAGACCAUGAUAGGAAGGAAGAAAAAUAUAUCAACAGACUUGCGUGUUCUCAACGAUACAAUGGUGUCGAAACAAAGUUAAGUCUGGAUGAGGCUGUUCUUUGUUCAAUAAGCAUUUGGUGCGAUAGUCGCCUGGAGGACUAUCAUCUGCAUUUUAGUAAGGAACCUGGUAUCUUCGGAAGGGUGAUGAUGUUGGCGUCACUGACUGGAGUUCCUAUCAUCAACUCUGGGGAAAUUAAGCUCCUGAAGUUAAAUGCUUCCAAUGGGAAUGUUACCAGAAAACUCAGCACUUAUGUGGAAAGGUCCAUUGAAGCUGCAUAUAAUCGGGUAGCAAGUACAAUUGAUUUGGAAUCCAAACUGGCAAAAACACAUAGUCUGGCUCUACUAGCAAAUGAAUUAAAUUUGCUAGCCAAGAGAGAGUUUGGCAUUUUUUAUCCAGUGAUUCGUAAUUGGUAUCCGGAAGCUGGGGCAGUUUCAGCGACAAAGCUAAAGAAAUAUUAUGGAGAAAGACUGCAACCGUACCUUGUGGAGGUGUCAUAUCUAACCGAGGAUGUUAGAUCCGUUCUUUCUGCUGCCCAUACUUUGGAUUAUGAUCUUAGUGAGUUAUAUGCAUCUACUUGUGAGGAAAACAAGUUGAAUCAUCUGUCCGACCGAGAUCUGGAUAGAUAUCAAAUCGAAGAAGUUGCUGGGCCAGUUAUUCUUGAUUGGAUUAUUGCUCAACAUUCUCGUGUCUUGCAAUGGACUGAACGAGCAGUAGAUCUUGAGAAGUGGGAGGCAAUAUCAUUCCAACAAAAGCAGGCACCAUCCGUAGUUGAAGUUUUCAGGAUAAUUGAAGAGACAGUAGAUCAAUUUUUUGGGUGGAAUCUCCCAAUGAACAUAACGCAUCUUCAAGCUCUACUUUCUGUGAUAUUUCACAGCUUGGAUGCCUAUUUGUUGAAGGUAUCUAACGGUUUAGUCGAGAAGAAGGAUCUAUUACCCGCAGCUCCUCCUUUGACUCGCUAUACAGAGACCGUUAUUCCUAUAAUCAAGAGGAAGAUGGUGGAAAACACUCUGACCGACAAUGGCAUGAAUGAUAAAUUGACUGCAUCGACCAUAUCAAAGCUCUGUAUAAGAUUAAAUACUCUUCAGUAUGUCAAGAAAAAGGGUGGCAUACUAGAAGAUUCCCUUAGAAAAUCUUGGGCUCUUGUCAGAUCAUCUAAAUAUCAAAGAUCAGCGGUGGAGGAACCUUUGCAAAAUACAGUUACUGACUCCUUAACAUAUGAUGAAGCAGUUGAUGAACUCUUUAGUACCGCAUUCAACAGCAUCAGGGAUACUUCAACAAAUGCAAUAGGCAUGAUUUGCGACUUAAUUGGAUUGAGAAUGGUGUUUUGGGAUCUAAGAGACAAAGUGCUUUCAUUUUUAUACUAUGGUAAUGUUGAAAGCGCUCGACUGGACAAGUUUCUCUCUCAUUUUGAUACCGUCCUUAAACAUAUAUGUGGCUUACUUGAUGAAUCUCUUAGAGAUCUUGUGGUUUUAAGUGUCUCUCGAGCAUCCAUGGAUGCCUUUGUCUGGGUGUUGCUUGAUGGCGGCCCAUCUCGUGCAUUUUCUGAGACAGAUUUUUCUUUGUUGGAGGAUGAUUUUACUAUGUUGAAGUCGAUGGUUUUUUCACACUAAACUGGAGCAUGAACUGGUCAAGUGACUGCUCGUCAGUUGCAUUGGCGCAACCAGCUGUCAAUUCACCUUAUAGGGGAAACUAGACGGAAGACAUAAAGCAUAUUGUGGCUCGGUUGUGCCUGCGUGUAAAGCACCCAGGACAUCUGUGGAGUCCUGAGUUCAGGCUGCUCUAACCUCACUUUAGGCCUUCUAUUCAAUGCUGUUAAAGCAAUUGUAAAGGGGUUGUCUACUUUUUCUAGGAUAAGAUCCUCUUUCAUUUAUCCUUAUUUUAACUCACAUGGUUGGCCUGGAUCUUGACCUGGUUAGAUCAGUUCAGCCAGGUCAAAUUCGGUUGAUUCUUGUUUCUUGCUCUUUAUUUUGAGGGAAUUAACUGGCCUUUUUCUUGGGGGCCAAAAGAACUGGAUAUAAUGAUUCAGUGUUGAAGAAGCCAACUAGCUGGUCUGGUGCCAUUGAUUCGAUGCUGUAGCAUCAAAAUCAGUGAGUGGUGGUAAGUUCAGUGAUGCCUGAGAGAUCAUGCAUGCAGGAUUUGUUAGCUUAUUAAUGCUUUCUAAAUCCAUUUUGAAAUAGGUAUAUAUUGGCUGUGAUUUAGAUAUGUAGCACAUCCUAUGAAAUGUGCUGUAGGACUGUUUUCUUUUAUUGACCGAUUAGAAUUGCCUCCCAGGGUUCUGGAUCACUUAUGUAAUUCAUUUAUCUGUGAUGAACGUGAGAGUGGCUUUCAAGUUGCAACAGAGGAUUGAAGUACCGAAUCUUCCUUCUGAUGUUUGCUUAUGCUAAAGACUGACCAAGAAUGUGCCAUUGCUUUCUCUCAUACUAUGCAGUUGUUACAUGCUUUUAGUUGUGCUAUAUUUUGAUUUAUAGGAAUUUUUUAUUGCUGAUGGAGAGGGGCUUCCCCGUUCUCUGGUGGAGAAAGAAGCUAAAUUUGCUGCACAGAUACUACAAUUAUUCUCCCUUAAGACUGACACAGUUAUCCAAAUGCUGCUAAAUGCAAGUCAACGGAUCUCAUCAGGA